rnacentral:rRNA from 1 species
GCUUAGAGUUUGAUCCUGGCUCAGGAUGAACGCUAGCGGCAGGCUUAACACAUGCAAGUCGAGGGGCAGCACAGGUAGCAAUACUGGGUGACGAUCGGCGCACGGGUGCGUAACGCGUAUGCAACCUACCUCUUACAGGGGGAUAGCCCGAAGAAAUUCGGAUUAAUACCCUAUAAUAUUAUUAGAUUGCAUAAUUUGAUAAUUAAAGUUCCGGCGGUAAGAGAUGGGCAUGCGUGACAUUAGGUAGUUGGUGAGGUAACGGCUCACCAAGCCUACGAUGUCUAGGGGUUCUAAAAGGAUGAUCCCCCACACUGGUACUGAGACACGGACCAGACUCCUACGGGAGGCAGCAGUGAGGAAUAUUGGGCAAUAGAGGCAACUCUGACCCAGCCAUGCCGCGUGCAGGAAGAAGGUUCUAUGAAUUGUAAACUGCUUUUAUUCGGGAAUAAAAUUACUUACGUGUAAGUGACUGAAUGUACCGAAGGAAUAAGCACCGGCUAACUCCGUGCCAGCAGCCGCGGUAAUACGGAGGGUGCAAGCGUUAUCCGGAUUUAUUAGGUUUAAAGGGUCCGUAGGCGGGGAAUUAAGUCAGUGGUGAAAUACUGCAGCUCAACUGUAGCAUUGCCAUUGAUACUGAUUUUCUUGAGUUUGAUUGAGGUAGGCGGAAUGAGAAGUGUAGCGGUGAAAUGCGUAGAUAUUUCUCAGAACACCAAUUGCGAAGGCAGCUUACUAAGUCAAAACUGACGCUGAGGGACGAAAGCGUGGGUAGCGAACAGGAUUAGAUACCCUGGUAGUCCACGCCGUAAACGAUGAUUACUCGUUGUUGGCGAUAUACAGUCAGCGACUGAGCGAAAGCAUUAAGUAAUCCACCUGGGGAGUACGCCGGCAACGGUGAAACUCAAAGGAAUUGACGGGGGCCCGCACAAGCGGAGGAACAUGUGGUUUAAUUCGAUGAUACGCGAGGAACCUUACCUGGGCUUAAAUGUAGAGAGACCGCUUCCGAAAGGAGGCUUUCUUCGGACUGUUUACAAGGUGCUGCAUGGUUGUCGUCAGCUCGUGCCGUGAGGUGUCGGGUUAAGUCCCAUAACGAGCGCAACCCCUAUCGUUAGUUGCUAACAGGUUAAGCUGAGGACUCUAGCGAGACUGCCAUCGUAAGAUGAGAGGAAGGCGGGGAUGACGUCAAAUCAGCACGGCCCUUACGUCCAGGGCUACACACGUGUUACAAUGGCCAGUACAGUGGGCAGCUACACCGCGAGGUGAUGCUAAUCUCCAAAACUGGUCUCAGUUCGGAUCGGAGUCUGCAACUCGACUCCGUGAAGUUGGAUUCGCUAGUAAUCGGAUAUCAGCCAUGAUCCGGUGAAUACGUUCCCGGGCCUUGUACACACCGCCCGUCAAGCCAUGGAAGCUGGGGGUGCCUAAAGUCCGUAACCGCAAGGAGCGGCCUAGGGCAAAACUAGUAACUGGGGCUAAGUCGUAACAAGGUAACCACAGCC